GGACGGAAGGAGCAGCACCCGGCUUCGCUUUGGUCUAGGCCUCAAAUCUAAGGCUUUGGCCAUUUCUGCCGUAGCAAGGCGAAUUUGACACCAGCAUUCCUGACCCUGUUCAACUUUUAUAAGGCCAUUGUCGUCCCUUAACGCCUUUCUCUCUCGCGUUCCUCACAGACCACCAAAUUUGCGCUUGGGAGGAUAAAAGGAUGGGUCUUCUUUGCAUAUUGCCUGCAACAACAUUUCCCAAUUACCGUCUUGCUCACGGAGGCUCCUCUCUCAUCCCCAUCUCACUAAGAAAGAGACGAUCUCUUUUACUCUCCCUUUCUUCUCUCAACCCAAAAAAUCAUUCUCCAUUUUUCUCCUCACCAGUGGAAAAGGAAGAUCGAAAUUAUCUUUGGAAGCUUACAGCAGGCUCUAUUGGUGGUGGAGCUCUUAUUAAAUAUGGCAGCAUAUUAGUCCCUGAAAUUACGAGGCCCAACCUCCUGCAAGCCCUGGUGAUAAUUGGUCUGCCGGUACUUCUUGGGGUUUUAGUAUUGAUCAAGGCGAGUAGUGCAGAUGCUAACUCAAACUGGACUCCCCAUUAAUCUUUUUCACUUCCAUUCUGUUAAUGAUAUCAAGUUGGCAUGUAGCUUUUUCUAUUAUCAGGCUAGAGAAUCAAUGGUUGUUUAGUUUUUCCGUCCUAGGCCCUUGAGUUUCUAUGUAUUCUUACUUUUAUAUUUGUCCAAAAAUGGGCUAAAGUUUCAAACAUAUGGUGUAUGUUGAGAACUUUUAUACCCAGUGAGUUACUAUUUAUCCCUAAAAAUUGGGUA